GACGAACGCUGGCGGCGUGCUUAACACAUGCAAGUCGAACGGAAAGGCCCUGCUUUUGUGGGGUGCUCGAGUGGCGAACGGGUGAGUAACACGUGAGUAACCUGCCCUUGACUUUGGGAUAACUUCAGGAAACUGGGGCUAAUACCGGAUAGGAGCUCCUGCUGCAUGGUGGGGGUUGGAAAGUUUCGGCGGUUGGGGAUGGACUCGCGGCUUAUCAGCUUGUUGGUGGGGUAGUGGCUUACCAAGGCUUUGACGGGUAGCCGGCCUGGGAGGGUGACCGGCCACAUGGGGACUGAGGUACGGCCCAGACUCCUACGGGAGGCAGCAGUGGGGAAUAUUGCACAAUGGGCGGAAGCCUGAUGCAGCAACGCCGCGUGCGGGAUGACGGCCUUCGGGUUGUAAACCGCUUUCGCCUGUGACGAAGCGUGAGUGACGGUAACGGGUAAAGAAGCACCGGCUAACUACGUG
rnacentral:rRNA from 1 species